UAGGGAAUCUUCCGCAAUGGGCGAAAGCCUGACGGAGCAACGCCGCGUGAGUGAAGAAGGUCUUCGGAUCGUAAAACUCUGUUAUUAGGGAAGAACAAAUGUGUAAGUAACUAUGCACGUCUUGACGGUACCUAAUCAGAAAGCCACGGCUAACUACGUGCCAGCAGCCGCGGUAAUACGUAGGUGGCAAGCGUUAUCCGGAAUUAUUGGGCGUAAAGCGCGCGUAGGCGGUUUUUUAAGUCUGAUGUGAAAGCCCACGGCUCAACCGUGGAGGGUCAUUGGAAACUGGAAAACUUGAAUGCAGAAGAGGAAAGUGGAAUUCCAUGUGUAGCGGUGAAAUGCGCAGAGAUAUGGAGGAACACCAGUGGCGAAGGCGACUUUCUGGUCUGUAACUGACGCUGAUGUGCGAAAGCGUGGGGAUCAAACAGG
rnacentral:rRNA from 1 species